UGGCGCUUGCACGGCAACAUGCACUUCUGCCCCAAGCAACAGGGAGGGGUGGGCUCCGAGUUGCUCCCCGGCAAGUAGGUGCUGAAACCCAGAACAGACAUACACCACUUUACUCUGAACUUUCAGGAGGUGCAGCUCAAUCCUCUGCCUAACUGUUGGGAGAACCAGGAAUUGGGGAAAACGCUUCACGCCUAGCGCACAAAUCUUCUAGAACCAUGUCAAGAAACAACGUCGUCUCCCCCUGUCUAUAGAUACUGGGAUUUCCUUUGCCCCCACAAGAAAGAAGUCAGCUCGUCUGCCCUGGCAUGUUCACAGUUACAUGGCUGCUCAGAUACUCCCAACAAUAGUCUAAGCCAGGCUUUAAGUUAUUAUAUGGACCCCGAUUAAUAAUAAAUCAAGUCCUGGAGACAAGGAGCCAGUUAAUCAGUUAGGUUUGUUCUUGGUUGCAUAGAAUGGAUGUCUUAGGAAUAGGCAUAUCAUAAUGGAAUUCAAAUCCCAGCUCUACAUCACAAUGGAUGAAUCAUGUUGGGAAGUGUGCCCUUUCAUCAGGUAGAAACAGAAUCAAGGCCAUCCUACACUAUAAAAUGAAGAUAGUUAUUGAUUCCCUCCGAACAUCCUUCCCUCCUCUAUGAUUCACAUAUACAAUAUUCGCUCGGGACCACAGAGUUCCUCCAGGAGUGCUAAUAACAAUAUGCCUGACCACAGUAACAAACACUCACGCGGGAAUGUUAUUAGACCUCGGGCACCGUUCUAAGUAUAUCUGACUUUCACAGAAGCACCCUGAGAUUCUACGCUCUCUGGGUGCUAAUUUGCCCUUGAGAUAUCCUAGCAGGCUUACGCCAAGCUCAACGGACCGAAGCCUCCCUUGUCCCAAGUUGGACCUACCCAUGGUGGCACGUUUUGCUCGGAAGUUGAGGAAACGUGGAGCUAUUGCCGUCACUGGCAAAUCAGCUUUGGAUGAAAUAUUCAAGACAGCUAGAAGCUAAGCAGGAUAACUGAAUUCACAACCAUUUGCUACAGGACCAUAAUUUAAUGGCAGCAUUAUAAUUUGCUAAAUACCAUUACCAUGGCACCGGGUCCUAUUAAUCAAAAACAGGAAAAGCUGUACACAGCAAUUUUUCUUUACUAUUUGUAGUGGCUUAUUACUGGUGCUUACCUCUAGAGUAGAUGUUACCUUUUUAGCUUCCAUAAUCAAAUACUCUAAAAAUAAGUCAAAUUUGAUUAC